CAACCCUCGACACCUGUCGGUUAUGAGCCCGCCUGGCGUGAAACCCGGGCCGGCUUCAAAUUUGUGAGCUCUGCUGGCUGCUGCGCCUGACCGAGACAUAGUAAGUCCUACUUGUCAGAGGUGAGGCGGGAGCGGUUCGGCCUGAACAAAACCUACCCAUUCUAAG
rnacentral:misc_RNA from 1 species